AUUGGUCCUUUUAGGCAAGAAAAGCAGACCUACUUCAAAGAUGAAGGUUAUCUCUGGCAUCUUGCUCCUUGUAAUACUUACAGCAUUGGCUGCCAUGGUCACUGCAACGGAAGAAAGAAACGAUGCAGCACGCAGUGGAGGCGGUUACGGAACCGGAUGCCCAGUCGCCACGGCCUGCACCACAAGCUGUAAAAGUCAGGGUUUCCGCCUAGGCGUAUGCCUUGAACCUCUACUGCAAAUCUGUUUGUGCUCAUCAUUUUUAAUCCAGACGACAAUCACGUAGCAAUAAACAUCGCCUGCAAGCGCACUUGUUAAAUUUGUCCUGUUACUGUCUCUUAAUCAGACUUAUACACGUCAGUGCGCAAUUCAGUUGGAAGUACCCGAUUGCAGUUACAAUUAUUUCGAGCAAAAAUGUAAUUGCUAGCAGUUACUAACAACUGCUGCAUAAAAGUAACUGAUCAGUUACAAGAAUGUAAUUAAUUGCUUU